rnacentral:SRP_RNA from 1 species
AGGUCAGGUCAGGGAGGCAGCAGGAGUCCUC